rnacentral:rRNA from 1 species
UACGUAGGUGGCAAGCGUUGUCCGGAUUUACUGGGCGUAAAGGGCGUGCAGGCGGUUUGUUAAGUGCAGGGUGAAAGCUCCCGGCUCAACUGGGAGAGGUCCUUGCAUACUGGCAAACUCGAGGGAGGCAGAGGAAAGUGGAAUUCCCGGUGUAGUGGUGAUAUGCGUAGAUAUCUGGAGGAACACCGGUGGCGAAGGCGGCAUCCUGGACCGGUAUUGACGCUGAGGCGCGAAAGCUAGGGGAGCAAACGGG